rnacentral:rRNA from 1 species
GACGAACGCUGGCGGCGUGCUUAACACAUGCAAGUCGAACGAAGAGCGAUGGAAGCUUGCUUCUAUCAAUCUUAGUGGCGAACGGGUGAGUAACGCGUAAUCAACCUGCCCUUCAGAGGGGGACAACAGUUGGAAACGACUGCUAAUACCGCAUACGAUCUAAUCUCGGCAUCGAGGAUAGAUGAAAGGUGGCCUCUACAUGUAAGCUAUCACUGAAGGAGGGGAUUGCGUCUGAUUAGCUAGUUGGAGGGGUAACGGCCCACCAAGGCGAUGAUCAGUAGCCGGUCUGAGAGGAUGAACGGCCACAUUGGGACUGAGACACGGCCCAGACUCCUACGGGAGGCAGCAGUGGGGAAUCUUCCGCAAUGGACGAAAGUCUGACGGAGCAACGCCGCGUGAGUGAUGACGGCCUUCGGGUUGUAAAGCUCUGUUAAUCGGGACGAAAGGCCUUCUUGCGAAUAGUGAGAAGGAUUGACGGUACCGGAAUAGAAAGCCACGGCUAUCUACGUG